GGAAUGAUAUAAUUUCUUGAGAUACUAGUUAAGUUUUUAUUUCCCUUAUGUGGUACUAUACUAGAUUGCAGGGGCUGACAGCUGUAAGUGGAGCAGCUAUGCCUGUUACUCAAAUACCAAACAGUCACUGGCUGAGCCUUGUGUGCAGAAGGUUUUCUUGACAAUUGUGGGUGUCUUGAUUGGUUCCUCUGGAUGGAGCUAUCCUGUCAUGCAUUAUGUGUGCAAGCUUGAUCUUUGCCAAAUACCACUUCUGGGUGGAUAUGGCACAGCAUCUACAGCAGGAAAGAAACCUAUGGAAAUUGUUGCAACUUGCACUGAAGCUGGAUUAGACCAAGUUAUUGAAGAGAUAAAGGAGUCUGAUUCUAUCAUUACCCUGGACUUGGCUCUGGUCACUGGUACAAAUGACACCGUAAACUCAGCAGCACAGGAAGAUCCCAAUUUUGUUAUCAGUAUCAUGCCAAUACUGGAACUCUGAAAAACAAAACAAGGUAAGGGAAGCACAGUGCACAGGAUCAGAGAAGGAGCCAGACUCAGUCCGGGGUAUGUUGGUGGAGCACAUUCUCUUCUGUUCACUCUUCUGUGGUAUGUUUCUAAACAUCCUAUUGCAACAUCAGUGGUCUGAGAAGUCAGCAGUAAAAUCAUGUGGCAACCGCACAAGCAUUGCUAAAGUUAGACAAAAAUUUCCACUUUCCAUGAGGUGAAAAUACAGUCUGCUGUCUGUUUUGCAUUAGAGAACUAGUUCCCAUCUCUUACUCUGAAACUUCAGAAUUAUUUGAAUUUAUUUCUGGCAGAUAGGGUGAAGAAAUCACACCACUCUGAGUAAUUUUACUUUAAUGUGAUAUACUAUCAAAAUUUGACAGCAUCUCAUUUCUCUUCUGAAUCCAUAAAAUGGCAGUUAUGUGUUAUCUUUCCCAACAGGCCAACAGGAAGAAUGUGAUAGAUUUUUCAUAUAAACACUUCCUUUAAAUGUUGACAAUACUAAGUUUGAUCAGUCACAAUUAACAUUCUUAAUGACAGCAUUGGGAUUUUAGUAAAACGGUGACCCUCAAGUCAAGGAAUAACAGUUUAGGAACAAUGUUGAGUCCUUCAGUACUUUAGUAGGUGACCUCAUAUUCUGCUAUCAGUAGAUCAGGAGUUUAACUGCCACAUAUUUUGAUCUUGGUGGGAAAGCUUUCCUGGUGUAAUUGUGCUGCAAUCACCAUUAACUUUUGUGUCCCAGAAUACUCUGAGACACGAGUUAAUGGCACCUGGGAGUGUAUUAACUGCAUUAUAGUAAAUGAUAAGAAAUUAAUAGGAGGUUUGCCUUCCUCCCUCCUUCUCUUGGCACUUUUGAAGGUAGAGGUAUGUAGGAUGGAUUUUCAUAUCAUAUUACAUUUUAUAGAAGUAUGCUAUAACCAUCACUUAUAUAGAUUGAUCUUUAACACAUUCAGGCAAAGUACUGAAACACAGUGAGUGGGAAAGGUAAGAACAGAUCCUUGUGUUACUUUGCAGUUGGACCUGAAGACUAUGUGGAAAACCAGAUGGACUCAAAAAUUGCAAGAAGCAGUAGCAAAGGAAUUAAAUCAGGUAACAUUACAAGUGCUUUGGGAGGUUUGCUGUAGAUUCCAAGUUGGCAUCUCUUUUCAGUAUCAAUGUAUCUUUACCCCAUGCACUGACAUGACCCUUUAUUCAACCUUGGCUUGGAUGACAUUUCUGCUACCUUCCAGGAAAGGAAUUGUUUUUUGCAGUAGCUCCCUCUCUUAUUCAUUUUGAGAAAAGGAUUAAAUACUCCCUCUGACCAAGCUUACAGGCAUGCUAAAGUGAAGCCUCUUCAUGCUCCUGGCCAAACAAAGAACAAAAAUACCCACAAUAAGCAAAAGCAGAUGGCUUCAGUGGCAGGAAAUGAAUGAGCCAGACUGCAGGUAAAAUGGUUCUCUGAACACAUCGCGGAGGUUUGCACUGACAGGUUCUUUGUUAUCUGGGGCCUCCCCACAGGAGGCCAGAUGUCUUCUGUUGUGAGAGGAGAUAGAGAUGCUCUUCCUUUUCCUCCCCCUUUAACUUAUGGCUGUUUAAGUUACUGCUAAUGGAAGCAGAAGCCUGUUUUUCCCUCUUGGUCUCUGAUGUUUUUGGAAACAGAAGAGAUAGUGAAGGGGUAUUCUGAUACGAAAGAAAAGGCCCAGAACUGGCCUUUACCUCCCCAUGACCCUCAAUUUAAAGAACAGGGAGGUCAGUGCUGCUAAUUGCACUUGAAAGGAUUAACCACUUGAUUGCUUUCAUUUAGUGGAACAAAAUUUUUCUUCAGUCUCAAAGCUGGGGAAAUGUAUCAGUGGUACUGAGAUGCUUUCAGUGUGAAAUGGAUGACUUUGUUUGGCUUAUACCAAUAUCAAAAUUAAAUAGAGGAUGUAAAUAUUUUUAUAUAUAUUAGAGAAGGGGCAAUUACAUCUCCUGCUCAGACAGGACAGAUUUGCAGCAGAAGUGACAAAAACCUCCUUCCUGCCCCCAUAAAAGGUUAUCAGAGGAAUUGCAACAGACCGUAACCAAUUACAGAUAUUAGGUGUGCCUCUGUCCCUUGGUAUAACAAAUUACUCUUGCAUUACACUGAGGUUGCACUGGAAGAAAAAGAAUCUGAACUCAAUUCCUGGACACAGUGUGCCAGAUUUAAAAUCCUUUCUGUACAUUAAUUUCAUCUUAGAGUUAAAACUAAUUUUCUUUUGGAAAAGGUUCUUAAUUCCCAUUGUUCAAAUAAAGUGAGGAAUACAAAACUUAAAUUUGGAAAC
rnacentral:lncRNA from 1 species